rnacentral:miRNA from 1 species
GAGUCUGAGGUUUGCUUCAGUGAACAUUCAACGCUGUCGGUGAGUUUGGAAUUAAAGUCAAAACCAUCGACCGUUGAUUGUACCCUAUGGCUAACCAUCACCUGC